rnacentral:rRNA from 1 species
UACGAAGGGGGGCUAGCGUUGCUCGGAAUGACUGGGCGUAAAGGGCGCGUAGGCGGUUCGUACAGUCAGGCGUGAAAUUCCCGGGCUUAACCUGGGGGCUGCGUUUGAUACGUGCGGGCUUGAGUUCGGAAGAGGGUCGUGGAAUUCCCAGUGUAGAGGUGAAAUUCGUAGAGAUCGGAAAGAACACCAACGGCGAAAGCACUCUGCUGGGCCGACACUGACACUGAGAGACGAAAGCUAGGGGAGCGAAUGGG